rnacentral:rRNA from 1 species
UACAUGGGGUGCAAACGUUGCUCGGAAUUAUUGGGCGUAAAGCGCGCGCAGGCGGUCCUUUAAGUCUGAUGUGAAAGCCCACGGCUCAACCGUGGAGGGUCAUUGGAAACUGGGGGACUUGAGUGCAGAAGAGGAAAGUGGAAUUCCAAGUGUAGCGGUGAAAUGCGUAGAGAUUUGGAGGAACACCAGUGGCGAAGGCGACUUUCUGGUCUGUAACUGACGCUGAGGCGCGAAAGCGUGGGGAGCAAACAGG